rnacentral:lncRNA from 1 species
GUAUAUUACCUCAUUUAAAAUCGCGGAAGCAUUUUGAAAACUUUGUUGCUGGAAGCUCGUGUUCCUUAGAAAAAUCAUGCCAUUUUGAAAUCUCGAGUUUUCCUAGACUAGCAGUUUAGUAUAAGAAAUCACAAUCCAAAUUAAAACUUAAAACCCACCAACAGCCUUAUUACAUAAAGUAAAAACCCAAAACGAAAUCUAAUUACAAUUAAAAGAAACAGAAAUAGUAGUGUGGCCAUCUCCGAGUCCCUCGCAGCUCCAACCAUCUAAGCUUAGGGAUUACCUGCACAAUUAGAAAUGGGUUGAGUUUACGAAAACUCAGUGUGUAAUCCCAAUAACAAACAAACGGUGAAUAACACAGUAUCAGUACAAUCUGGGCCAAAGCCCUAUUCAUUCUCGACAUAUACUGGGCCGAAGCCUUUUGUUUAACGGUUACUAGGCCGCAGCCUUUUCAUAAAUCAAAUCACUGGGCCGAAGCUUUUAUUGUAAAUGGUAUGGCCCAUAGGCCCAUUUCAAAAUCACAUGAAAUACCAAUGAAUGUAUGCAAGCCCAUUUGGGGAGACUACUCAACCCACCAUCCGCUACUCUCCACCCGUACCAACCAAGCUCUUCAUGUGGGGAAUAACUCAACCCACCCAACCAAACUCUCCACUGCCAGCAUAGCUGCUUUAUCAUAUAACUGGAGGCCUAGACUCUUUUAAUAACUGGGGCAAAGCCCUUUUUGAUAAACUGGGGCAAAGCCCUUCUCGGUAAACUGAGGCAAAGCCCUUUUCGGUAAACUGGGGCAAAGCCCUUUUAGCACUUCCUCCAUUUUUAUAAAAUCCAACCCAUGCAACAUGUCAUGUACGCAGAAUGUCAUGCCCAUAUUUGAAUCAAACAAUCACAGUCAAGUCAUUCAUAUCACCAACAUAUAUUCACAAUCAAAUCCGUCAACCACACAAUCCAAGUCAGUCACUUGCCCACAAGGGCAAAACAGUCAUUUAACACCCUAGGGGUAAAAUGGUAAUUUUACCCCACAAGGGUAUCUCGGUAAUUCUACCCUACAGGGGUAUUUCAGAAUUUCUACCCUACAAGGGUAUUUCGAUAAUUCUUCCCUACAGGAGUAUUUCAGUAAUUCUACCCUAUAGGGGUAUUUAGGUAAUUCUACCCUACAGGGUUAUUUUAGUAAUUCUACCCUAUAGGGGUAUUUUGAUACUUUACAAAUCGAGAGUAUUUCGAUAAUUUCACAAAUCAAGCGUAUUUUGGUAAUUUUACAAGCCAGGGGUAUUUUGGUAAUUUUACAAACCAGGGGUAUUUUAGUAAUUUUACAAACCAGGGGUAUUUUGGUAAUUUUACUAAUCGAGGGUAUUUUGGUAAUUUUGUAAACCAAGGGUAUUUUAGUAAUUUUGUAAAUCGAGGGUAAAACGAUAAUUCUGUAAGUCGAAGGUAAAAUGGUAAUUCUAUAAAUCGAGGGUAUUACGGUAAUUUUGUAAAUUAAGGGUAAAAUGGUAAUUCUAUAAAUCGAGGGUAAAAUGGUAAUUUUAUAAAUCGAAGGUAAAAUGGUAAUUUUAUAAAUCGAAGGUAAAGCAGUAAUUCUGUAAAUCGAGGGUAAAACGGUAAUUCUAUAAAUCGAGGGUAAAAUGGUAAUUCUAUAAAUCGAAGGUAAAAUGGUAAUUCUGUAAAUCAAGGGUAAAACAGUAAUUCUAUAAAUUGAGGGUAAAAUGGUAAUUCUAUAAAUUGAGGGUAAAACGGUAAUUCAAUUGAGGGUAAAAUGGUAAUUCUAUAAAUCGAAGGUAAAACGGUAAUUCUGUAAAUCGAGGGUACUUUGGUAAUUUUACAAUUUGAGGGCAUUUUAGUAAUUUGAUAAACUAAAGUAUUCUAAAUAGGGAUAACAAUACGAAUGGGCCUAAAGCCUAUUCUCGGCCCAAAUGGGCCCACACGCUCGUGUGGCCCUUUUAGCCCAAAUCUAGCCACAAAUAUGAGAUUUACCUAGCCUAGUCCAAUAUUUACUACACAAUCAAACAACUUAUUCAAUUGGGCCCGUAGGCCCAUUGGGCUCACAUAACCCCAUUCGGCCCAUCGCGGCCCGAAGUAGCCAUCCUACAACUAGAGUAGUGAGAAAUACACACCUGAUUGGAGACUAGAGUUAAUCCACGCUCCGAGCACUCUUAGCCGACGCCCAACCCAAACGAGCACGCCAUAAAGCGAAAGGGAUAAGCCAAGAAAG